GAUGAACGCUGGCGGCGUGCCUAAUACAUGCAAGUCGAGCGAACAGAUGAGGAGCUUGCUCCUCUGACGUUAGCGGCGGACGGGUGAGUAACACGUGGAUAACCUACCUAUAAGACUGGGAUAACUUCGUGAAACCGGAGCUAAUACCGGAUAAUAUAUUGAACCGCAUGGUUCAAUAGUGAAAGACGGUUUUGCUGUCACUUAUAGAUGUAUCCGCGCCGCAUUAGCUAGUUGGUAAGGUAACGGCUUACCAAGGCAACGAUGCGUAGCCGACCUGAGAGGGUGAUCGGCCACACUGGAACUGAGACACGGUCCAGACUCCUAAGGGAGGCAGCAGUAGGGAAUCUUCCGCAAUGGGCGAAAGCCUGACGGAGCAACGCCGCGUGAGUGAUGAAGGUCUUCGGAUCGUAAAACUCUGUUAUUAGGGAAGAACAAAUGUGUAAGUAACUAUGCACGUAUUGACGGUACCUAAUCAGAAAGCCACGGCUAACUACGUG
rnacentral:rRNA from 1 species